rnacentral:tRNA from 1 species
AAAAAAAACCCGGGGUAAAUUGGGGCUUCUAACCCUGCUUUGGAGGUUCGAGUCCUCUUUUUUUUA